UGAAUCUUACGUGUCUUCACUCCAUGAUAUUUUUCAAAAGCACAAACUAACAGCAACUGAUUUAUUUGAUGGAGAUGAUCUUGAUAGAUUCCUAGCUCAAUUGAAUCACAAUAUCAGUAACCUUAAAGCCAUGCUUCGUGCAAUUUCAUAGUUAUUAGAAGCAUUCUCUGUUGUUUUUUUUUUCUUUAAUAUUUACUCUCCUACUUCAGUCAGGAGCUAAGAUUCAAGUAACCAGGGAUAUGGAUGCUAACCCUACUUCUCAGACUAGGCUACUAAAAGUUAUUGGCACUUCCAUACAUUUAAUUCCAGCAUUACAUGUCCUCUAGUCGUCGUUCGCUGUUUUUUCUUUUUUCUUUUUGUUGUUUAAAAAUGACUGUUUCUGUUUUGCAGGAAGAUUUAUGGCAGGCUGCAUUUCCGGUUGGCAUAGAGGUUUGUUUCAAUUCUCUCUUUUUUUCCUCAAUCAGUACAUCUGCUUUUCAAUGUGAUAUCAAACAUUGCUAGAGUGCAAUAUGCUAUAUGCAUGACUUCCACAGAUAUUUUUAGUUAUGGAAUUACUGUAAUAGGUUUUGUUACUUUGCUUCAAUGUUCAGUAGAUACAUGAGAAUGCACGAGUAUGUGCCUUAGCAUACAUGGAUAUCUAUUUCAUGGGUAUUUGGGUCAUAAGCUGUUUGUGAGUUAUAAAAGGGAAGCUAUCAUGGAUGAUUGGGCUAGUUUGAUGCAGUUGGGUUGGGGAGUAGUGGACCCACACCAUCCCCUUUUGUUAGGUACUAAUAACAUUAUUCUUACUAUUAAAGAAAGACAGUUGCACAUGUUGAGGUGUGCAUCUCUUGUUCAUCAUCAUCAUCAUUUUUAUUGUUUUCGUUCCAUGCUUCCAUUUUGAAAUUCUGCCCUCUCCCUCCCUGCCUCCCCCUCUCUCUCAUUUGAAAAAGUUAUAUAUGAGAAGAUAUACAAUUAUGGACCAAUUCAGUUGUUCAAGUCAGUUAAAGCUGAUUGUUUUGCUACAUAUGCUAAACCAAAAUUCCAUUUGGUAACCUUGUAGUCUUGAGCCAGUUAUUCAAUACUUGUUUCCUCUCUUUUUUAUUGUAGGAAAUAGUACCACUAAGAAAAAUCUAUCGUCGACCUGAAACUGAUUAUCAGUUGCAGGGACUAGAUGCAUCCAAGGAUUCAGCAUCUAUGGGGCAACAGAACAUGAUGAAAGAUCCUUCUUUGGUAAGUAAACACCGGCCAUUGCUGAGGCUCAUCAAACUAGAAGCUCCUCAUUGAUCAAGAUGGGUUGUUAGCACAACCCUUGCAGGUGCCACAAUUGGUUCAUUCACUGGGGGAGCAUUAGCUAAUAAAUUCGGUAGAACAAGGACUUUUCAACUAGAUGCAAUCCCACUUGCAGUUGGAGCAUUUCUCUAUGCUACGGCCCAGAGUGUGCAAACAAUGAUAAUUGGUCAUUUACUUGCUGGGAUUGAGAUAGGCACUCAUCUGCCAUUGUGCCACUUUACAUAUCUGAGAUAUCACCCACCGAGAUUCGAGGUGCACUUGGAUCAAUCAACCAGCUUUUCAUUUACAUAGGAAUUCUUGCAGCUUUGGUGGCCGGAUUGCCUUUAGCCAGAAAUCCACUAUGGUCAGGCAGAUUUGCUAGGCUUCAAUGGAUUCAAUGCUCAUCGGGCCCAUGACCAGCCUUAUUCAUCGUGCCUCGUGGCGAUCCUUCCAUGGCCACUAUGACAUUUUCUACACAAGGGCAAUGAGAGGAAUUUCAACCUCAAGUGCACCAGUUCGAUCCGCUCUUAGGAUUCAGGUACAAGCAUGGUUGUCUAAGCGACCACAUUGCAUCAUUUGAUAACAUCUCCAGUGAAAGAGAAGGCUUGAGCAAGGAUGAUAACAUUUGCAAUGUAAAAAAAAAAAA